rnacentral:rRNA from 1 species
AUUGAACGCUGGCGGCAGGCCUAACACAUGCAAGUCGAGCGAGCGGCGGCCGGGUGAGUAAUGUAUGGGGACUGCCCGUUAGAGGGGGAUAACUACCGGCAACGGUUGCUAAUACCGCAUACUAUCGGAUAACCCAUAUGGGAUUAGCUAGUAGGUGGGGUAGAGGCUCACCUAGGCGACGAUCCCUAGCUGGUCCGAGAGGAUGACCAGCCACAGUGGGGCUAGGACACGGCCCAGACUGCGACGGAGGCAGCGGUGGGGAAGAUUGCAGAAUUGGCACAAGCCUGAAGCAGCCAUGCCGGGGGUAUGAAGAAGGCCUUAGGGGUGUGAAGUACUUUCAGCGGGGGGGCGUUACCCGCAGAAGAAGCACCGGCUAACUCCGUGCCAGCAGCCGCGGUAAUUC